UACGUAGGGUGCAAGCGUUAAUCGGAAUUACUGGGCGUAAAGCGUGCGCAGGCGGUUGUGUAAGUCAGAUGUGAAAUCCCCGGGCUCAACCUGGGAAUUGCAUUUGAGACUGCACGGCUAGAGUGUGUCAGAGGGGGGUAGAAUUCCACGUGUAGCAGUGAAAUGCGUAGAUAUGUGGAGGAAUACCGAUGGCGAAGGCAGCCCCCUGGGAUAACACUGACGCUCAUGCA
rnacentral:rRNA from 1 species